UUUCAUUGGUGGUGUUAGUGGGGAGG
rnacentral:piRNA from 1 species